UACGGGGGGGGCAAGCGUUGUUCGGAAUUACUGGGCGUAAAGGGCUCGUAGGUGGCCAACUAAGUCGGACGUGAAAUCCCUCAGCUUAACUGGGGAACUGCGUCCGAUACUGGAUGGCUUGAGUUUGGGAGAGGGAUGCGGAAUUCCAGGUGUAGCGGUGAAAUGCGUAGAUAUCAGGAGGAAUACCGAUGGCGAAGGCAGCUCGCUGGGACGUCACUGACGCUGAGACGCGAAAGCGUGGGGAGCAAACAGG
rnacentral:rRNA from 1 species